UGUCGUGACGACAAUUUAAAAAAAACUCUCCAGUGUUUCCCGACACAACCCGCGUCCCUCUCUCCAGUGUUGAGUCGCGACGGCGUCUCACUUUCCCCAUUCCCUAGUCGGCCACCACGGUUCACGGCCAGAUCCCGGCCAACUCCGGCCUGUCCUUGCCCUGCCGACCUUUGUCGCCACCCCCUCCUUCCCCUACCUCCGUCCAGUCCAUUUGCCCGCCAAUUCGCAGCCCCCAACAAACCCUGGCCACCGUCGACACUCACAAAUGCCAACUUUCUCACCGCGGAUUGCAUAGAGGAAGGAGAAAAUGCGAUUUUUGUGGUGGUGCGGCAGUGCGUGGUGGUGAUGCACGGAGACCGGCUGCCGAUGUGGCCGUCCAGGAGGCCAAGGUUCUCGCGGACGACGACGAGCAGGCCGCGGGUCCACGGACGAGGGACGCAGGAGGCCUGCUGUCGCCGAGCACCGCUUCUACUCGUGCGAGGAGCGCGUCCGGGUGCUCAAUCUGGAGUGCAUGGCGACAGCCUCAUCCCUGGUCGCCGCGCCGGGGGGAGGUGGCGGUGGCACAGUAACUCGAGCUCCCCUUCUUCGACCCAGCCCCCGAGCCCGAUGCCUCGUCUCCCCUCAGGACUACCUACCUAGCAGCAGCAGCAGAGGCUGGGCGAGUUCGUUUGGUCGAGGAAGAAAUACCAGCUGCAGGUGGUCGAUGCAGCAGUAGCAGUAGGCGUCAGUGGCGGGGCAGCAGCAGUAGUAGGCGUCGGUGGCGAGGAAGGAGCCGGCAGGGAAAGACCACCUCAGCAGCACAGCCGACGAGGAAGGAGCCGGCAGGGAAGGAGAGGCUGGGCCGGCGAUCGGUGUAUCCCAGCAACAGAGACGGGGCGCAGGGAAAGAUUGCGACGGAAUCGCAGAGGUUGACAGGGUUGCAGGUGCAGGUGGGCGGCGCCGCAGUGAUUGGUCGCGCAGGUGGGCGGCGGAAUCACGCAGCUGGGCGCCGGCAAGUGGUCGCGGUGGAUCGAGGACCAGCUCGCCUGGCGGUCACGGCGAUGGACGGCGGAAUCGGUGAGCAGCUGGUGGCGGGUGAGCGGCGGUGGGUGAUUGUGGGUGGGUUGCGAGCACCAGAAUCUCCAGCGCGGCGGAGGAAUCCCAUGGCGUCGGCCUCUGCCCCCUGGCGACGAGCGGGCGCUGGAUGGAGGAAGGAGAAAGAGUCAUGUACUUGUUUGCUACUAUUUUUAAAAUUGCGAGGUGUUUAUUGCAAAACAUCCACUAUACUGCGCCCGCGACAAUAAUUCUGGGGCGGAGGGAGUAGUAACUAGCACAAAUGCCCAUGCAUUGUAACAGGAGAAAA